rnacentral:tRNA from 1 species
AAAGGGAGACCUAAUUCAGGUAGGAGACGAAAAAAAAGUAGUCCCUACCAGGAAUCAAUCCCAAAAGGUCGGAGCGAGGCGAAAUUGGCUUUCAAACUAGGUUCUGGGUUCAAACAAGACCUGAAUCAGGAACAAGGGCUAUUAGCUCAGGUGGUUAGAGCGCACCCCUGAUAAGGGUGAGGUCCCUGGUUCGAGUCCAGGAUGGCCCACCUGCACAGGUGGCAAAAACAAGAGAAGCGAGGAAUCAGCACCUUAUCUUACUGACAUAGUAAGAGAGAAUGCUGGCUCUGAGUAAAGAGUCCAGGGGAACCUUGAAAACUGCAUAGAGCUAGGUGAAAAAGCCAAAAAAGAAGACCGCAAG